rnacentral:rRNA from 1 species
AACGCUAGCUACAGGCUUAACACAUGCAAGUCGAGGGGCAGCAUUAGGUAGCAAUACUGAGAUGGCGACCGGCGCACGGGUGCGUAACGCGUAUCCAACUUUCCCGUUACUCUGGGAUAGCCUUCCGAAAGGGAGAUUAAUACCGGAUGGUGUUGAAAAUUCGCAUGUAUUUUCAACUAAAGAUUUAUCGGUAACGGAUAGGGAUGCGUGACAUUAGGUAGAUGGCGGGGUAACGGCCCACCAUGCCUACGAUGUCUAGGGGUUCUGAGAGGGAGGUCCCCCACACUGGAACUGAGACACGGUCCAGACUCCUACGGGAGGCAGCAGUGAGGAAUAUUGGUCAAUGGUCGGAAGACUGAACCAGCCAAGUAGCGUGAAGGAUGAAGGUUCUAUGGAUUGUAAACUUCUUUUGUACGGGAAUAAAACCACCUACGUGUAGGUGCUUGUAUGUACCGUAUGAAUAAGCAUCGGCUAACUCCGUGCCAGCAGCCGCGGUAAUACGGAGGAUGCGAGCGUUAUCCGGAUUUAUUGGGUUUAAAGGGAGCGUAGACGGGAUAUUAAGUCAGUUGUGAAAGGCUGCGGCUCAACCGCAGCACUGAGACGCGAACUGGUUUCCUUGAGUUCGGNUGAGGUNNAUGGAAUUCGUGGUGUAGCGGUGAAAUGUUUAGAUAUCAUGAAGAACUCCGAUUGCGAAGGCAGCCUUCUGGGGUGCAACUGACACUGAUGCUCGAAAGUGUGGGUAUCGAACAGGAUUAGAUACCCUGGUAGUCCACACAGUAAACGAUGGAUACUCGCUGCCGGCGAUAUAAUGUCGGUGGCUUAGCGAAAGCGUUAAGUAUCCCACCUGGGGAGUACGCCGGCAACGGUGAAACUCAAAGGAAUUGACGGGGGCCCGCACAAGCGGAGGAACAUGUGGUUUAAUUCGAUGAUACGCGAGGAACCUUACCCGGGCUUAAAUUGCACUGGACAGGCCAAGAGAUUGGCUCUUCUUCGGACCAGUGUGAAGGUGCUGCAUGGUUGUCGUCAGCUCGUGCCGUGAGGUGUCGGCUUAAGUGC